rnacentral:rRNA from 1 species
CCCUUAGACGUUCUGGGCCGCACGCGCGCUACACUGACGAAGGCAACGAGCUUUCCUUUACCGAAAGGUACGGGUAAUCUUUUGAAACUUCGUCGUGCUGGGGAUAGAUCCUUGCAAUUAUUGAUCUUAAACGAGGAAUUCCUAGUAAGCGCAAGUCAUCAACUUGCGUUGAUUAAGUCCCUGCCCUUUGUACACACCGCCCGUCGCUACUACCGAUUGAAUGGUUUAGUGAGGCCUUCGGAUCCGCGACUCGUUUUGUGGAGAAGUUGGACAAACUCAGUCAUUUAGAGGAAGUAAAAGUCGUAACA